GUAAAGGUGCAAAUUUCCAAUGAUGAAUGUCAUUAUAUUGUAUACCUAAAAUGUACCAAUGAUUAGAAUGAGUAAUCGAUAAUGCAAAAUAGGAAGAAAAGGUCCAAAGGGCUAGGGCUAGUGGGAGGGGCAGGGGAAAGGAAAGAAGGGAAAGGAAAAAUGAUGAGAAAUGGAAAAAAUGGAAAUAAAGUCUUUGUAAAUAGGGAAGGGUGGGCUAGGAAUGGGGAAAAAAUAAGAACCAAGAUGCAUUAUGUAAAGGUACAAUUCCCAAUGAGAAAUGUAAUUGUGUUGUAUACUUAAAAUGUGCCAAUAAAAGAAUUUAACAACACCAAAAAAAUAACUCUGAGUUCCACUUUACAGAUAAAAUGUAUCCAUUGCUUCUCAUCCACCAUGUGUAGUAGUUCUUACUUUCCCCCUCCUGCAGUUUUCAAGAUCACAUAAAAUAGACUCUGAAGACCAACCUCAGUUCCCACCCCUGGAAUAAUUCACUUUUUCAUUUCAUUGUCUCAUCUUCUAAACUCCAUUACGUAUAAAAAGAUAUGAAGAAUUAUUGCCUCAAGAUCAAAUCCUUAUGUAAACAUCACUUUGUGAAACUUUUAAAUAUAUAUUGUUCACAUCUGUCUGUCCGAUUCACGAUGUUCUUCGACGCCAAUGUUGUUGGUCCGUGUCAUUCUGCAGAUAAAUGUUGCAUAUUUUGCAGCUCCUGUCAAUUGUCCUAUAUGGGACAUUCAGCCCUCCAGUGCCACAGAUUCAUACUUGGAGUCAAUUCAUUGCUUUAUACCCAUGUUUAUCUUCUUAGCAUAAAUCCCCACAGAUGGAAUUUUGAUUCCAAGAAUGUGUGCGAGUUGUAAGAUUUUUAUGUUUCUAAAUUUGCAAUUUUGACAAUUUAUUCUUUUCCUUAUCAUAUAUAAAAAUCUCCCAUACCAGAGCUGUCAUAGAAAUUCUUGGUAACCUUCUUAAAAACACUCUUGCAAUUUCCAUGGGUUAAAAAAAGAGUCAGUUCAUCCUUUGAAUAUGUAUUCUUUCAUCUCCUUGUAUGUCUUAACCAUUUACAGUUCCUUCAUUAAUUGUUGCUUUGUAUUCCUUGCCUGCUUUUUAAUUCCUGUUUCCUAGUUGCUACAGCAUAAAAAAUGAUCAAUACAAAUAGAUUUUAAGGCAUACACAGUAUCAGUACAUUCCUUUUUAAUGCUAAAGAUGGGGGAACAUGUAUAUAACAAGUGUCUGUGUAAGCUGGAAUGCCUGGCCUCCUUAUAAAGCCCAGACUUCUUCUGAGUCCAUCCUAGAAAUUUUCAGCCUGCUAUAAUGCCAUGUUGGGUCAGGGUGUUUCUAGACCCUGUAGCAUGCACGAGCAGUGCACCGUCACCCCAUACACUGUGUUUCUCAUAUAACAAGCAAUUGUGCAAGUAUUUUACUGUGUAUGCAUCACGGGCAUCCUUUUCAGGGUACACAAGUGGGAUACAAUAUGGGCACCGUGAUCCCACAGAUGCUGGAUGUCCCCAGGGUCCCUCUCUCAUAGAAAUGUCCCUCACAGAUGGUUGCUUCCUGGGCAUGGAGAAGACGACCUGCUGAAAAUUGAGCACAGCAGAACCUCUGCAGCUCAAUUUCCUGCUUUGCAAAACAAGAGUCCUCUUCUCAACCUCAUCCCAAAGCCUGGUGGCCACCAUCUGCUUUCCUCUCUUAGCUCAGCACAUUUGACAGGCCAGAGCAGGCACUGUGCAUCUCAUUUCCUUUUCAAUUCUGGAGUUAAAGAAAAACCCAGGAGUGGGUAAGGCACUGCCGAAAUACUGUGGACAAACUAAUUUGACACACUUGAGAAAGGAAAAAAGAUAGGAUUGGCAGAAUUGGUAUUUGGGCAAUAGGAAAUGCUCAUACAAAAUCCCCAAGUAUUUCAGGCAGGGCCGACAGCUCAGGGUCACGAUUCUAGAACUAAAAUCCGCAUGCCCCACAUGGACAACUCUGAGCCGUGGUGUAUAUGCUUAAUUGUUUCCUCUUAAUUGGCGUGGGAGUCCACCAUGAGAUUAAAGCACAUGCACGGGUGUGUUUGUGUGGGUCCCUGGAGGAGGCCUGACCUGGGGGUUUCUGUCUGAACCCUCACACCUUUCUUUCUGGAACUGUUCUCCUGCUGAACUAAGCAGUUUUCCUCCACUAUCUCCUUCUGCAAAGGUGAUCUCGCUUUGCAGGGACUGAACCCUCCGAAACCCUGAGCCAGAUGAACCUCCCUCCUUGAAAUUGUGGGUGUCAGGUGUUGUGUCCCAGCAACAGGAAACUGAGUAAUCCUGAGUCCAGCCUGUGCUGGGCUCUGUCACUGUUGUAGUCACUUAAUCAGAGGAAAGAAGUAGAACUUUCACAAGGGCAGCUGUAUCCUAGAAUUUAAUCAUUGUGUACACUUUACAAAAAUGACCUCUUCCCAGGAGUGAAAUUUGUCCUUUUAUUCUUUUCCAAUUUUUUUCUAACUCUGUUCAUGUUAAAUUGUGUGGCCAUAGCCUUAGGUUCAGAACCCCUGAACAGCAAAGAAUGGAUGUGUUUAACUGUUUUAUUGAGGGAGAAUAAAAUAUUCACAGUCGCCUCAAGUGGCUGUGUGUUCAUUGCUUUGUGAAGUGUUGAAAAUGUUCGAGCAUUUAAGAGGGCCGAGAACUCAGAUGCUAAAAAGUAGUUGCUGUCUACUGGUUAAAAUGCCAACAUCAUCAUCCUCUCGAGUUUUGGACACUCACUGGAUAUUUCCUGAGCUAAUAAAAUGGUCGUUUGCCAGAAUGUCAAGAUUCUAUUCCUGGUCCAUCUGCUUCCAUGUCUUCUAUUUAGGCAGGGUUGGUAUUGCAAAAAGAAAAAAAAGAAGGAAAGAAGUUGCUGUGUGGAGGUGGUUCUUCAAUUGUCAGGACUCCCGGGGCUGUGGACCUGAAACACCUUGCUCACUUUGGCCGUCACUGGUAUCCUUCCAGCCCAGCAAAUACUCAGCCCAGCAGAUACUGCAGAUACUGGGCCCUGCACCAACGAAAAGGCAGGGGUUUAGCCAGGGCAAGGCAGGAGACAUGCACUCCCAAAAACAUGCUACGAAAGGGGAGAUCCACCUGCCCCACCUGCCCAAUUAGGAACACCAGGAACGCACACCUGACAGGUUCAGUCCCGCUGGAAAGGUCCUCUCCACAAGAAGAAUCUGUCAUCUCACUGGGGCUUGCGUGUUACAGAUGAUGGAGCGCUGGUGAGCCUGCAUUUGCUCCUUCCCUAGGAAGCCACAUCCACCUGGAUGGAAAGCUCUGCUUCAGGACUGCCGUCCUGACACCCUAACGGAAUAAGCAGAGGCAGAGAGUCCCAAACCAAAGGCAGACGGGGCUCUGGACGUUUGCCUCUAGAGAGUUUCCAUACAUGCUGCAUCUAUUUAUGAACACCUACUGAAUCAAAGCCGAAGCUCUUUGCAUAAAGCACUUCUGGAGAUAAGGGACAAAUUAAUUUUUACUCAUUUCAUAUCUUUGGGCAUAAAGCAGUAGAGGAGUUAAAUGUCUUUAAGUUAGCAUUUCAAAUAUUAAAGAGUUAUUUUUUUAAACAGUGAGAGUGAUUUUCAUCUACUCGCAGCUGCUGAGACUACAGCAAGAGCAGGAAAGCAUGGUUAAGGGAAAGGAUCCAUCUUAGUAUUAUUAGUAGUAGUAUUUUAUUAUAUAUUUUUUAUCGUGGGCUUGUGUCUUGCAGGCACUGCAGCCUGCAUAUGGGCUGGAUCCUGUGCACAGGUCCAAGCCUUCAUGAAAUCUUUCUCCUCUGGAAAUUUGCUUCCAGAUUCCGCUUCCACCAGAGAAUUGCCUCCUUUAAAUUUUCUGAUUUACACCGACCGGCUUGGUAGCAAUUAGGGACAGAAGCAGAAAUAGCAAGUGCAAUUAUUUUAUUGGCUCUAUACACUUCCAUCCUGCAGUAUAUAACAAAUCUACCUAAUUAUUCCCUUAGUAUUAGGUACUUUUGCUUUUAAAGAUAUUAGAAGCGCAAAUGUUCAUGUCCUUAUCUCCCCUUGUGUUAACAACAAACUUCUCAACACAGUGGCCUCUGCUUGCUGUGUCUGUUUGCUGACUUUGUUCAUUCCUAGCCCAUUUGCCACCUUGCUUCAGGCUGUCUCACCCCACCCAAAGAAUUAACAAGGUCACUUGUAGUUGUAGCACUCAUUACAAUGGAUCUGUUUUUUUAAAAGCUUUGUUCUUAGGGGAUUUCACACCAGCAUGGCUCUGUGGGCACCUUACCAAGGAAUCUGUUUCUGAUUCCUACAACACAUUUCUCUUCUCUCUAAUCCUUCCCCCCUGGCUGUUCCUCCCAUGUCCCUUUUGCAGGUAUGUCCUCCUCUGCUAGGGUGGGGAUGUGCUGGAUGGGGGUAGGUCUUUGUCCUGGGCCCUGAGCUUCCUUCUCACAUUAUCUUAACCCCUCAGCUUUAUGGAGAAAACAUCUAUAGAUUACUCGCAUGAAAGAUCCACAUAGGACUCACGUAAGAUCCAAUACAGAUAAAGUAGGUGCUUUGCAUGAGACCCCUGAUAUAAAUCUUCAGAGUUUCUGCUGUAGACUGUUUGUCUCCCCCCAAAUCCAUAAAAUCCUGACUCCCAAAGGAGAUAGUGUUAGGAGGUUCUGAGGAUGGAGUCUCAUGGACAGAUUCAGUGGCCACAUCAAAGUGACCCCAGAGAGCUCGUUGCCCCUCCCACCAUGUGAGGACACAGGAAGAAGAUGCCAUCUAUGACCCAAAAAGCAGCCCCCACCAGACAAACCUUGUCCUUGGACUUCAGCCUCUAGGACUGGGAGCCAUCGAGGUCUAUUGUCCAUGAGCCAUCCAACCUUACAGCAGAAAACUCUAAGCUUCCCAUGUAUGGUAUUUCAGGCUAGGUCCCCAUGAUAGCUUCUCUAUGAUGCCUCCCCAUAGAAAGAAUGGUUAAUGGCUGCAGGGUUGUAGUACAUAGAGCAGGAAAAAGUCCUAGUGUCUACAGCACAGCAUGGUCGCUAUAAUUAACCACAGCUUAUUGUAUAUUCAAAACAGCUAGAUCUUUAACAGAAGAUCUUUAAUAUUCCCAACACCCUGAUCAUUAUAUAUGAGCCGGGAUCAAAAUAUAUGGUGAGUACUUCAAUACAAAACAUUUUAUUACAAUAAAAGACACAUUGCCAUAAAUCCCUCCCCAAACCUCUCUCCUUGCAUCAAACACACUUACCCCAUUGUUCUUGGCACUUUCUGAAGCAGCUUUGGAAGUCUUUCUUGAAUGUCUUUUCGAUGAAAUACAGUGGAUGCUGCUGCCGAGUGUCGUCCAAUGGAAAGGCAGCCUUGUGAAAACAUGACAGUGUGUCCUCAUCUAUCUUAUUCUCUGGACCUGGCACUGUGUGACCUCUGACUCAUUCCCAAAGUCAAAAUGACCAUGAAAGGUAGCAUUUUGAAUCAAUUCAGGACAUCAAUUCAGGAAAGAAGACUUCUAAAACUGUUCAGAAAGUGCCAAGAACAAUGGGAUGUGUGUUUUCAAAAGGAGUAUUUUGAGGGGGAUUCGUGGAAAUAUGUCUCUUAUUAUAAUUUUUUAAAUUUAAGCGUUCAUUAUAUUUUUGAAUACCAUUGUGGAUUGCAGUAACACCCUGUACUCCAUAACUAUGUGCAAUUAUUAUAUGUCAAGUUUUUUUUAAAAGAACUCAUUUUCUUUGUAUCUUUUAGAGGUUGCUCCUAAGAGCACUUGUAGAAAAAAAGAAAAGCCUGCUGCUGAUUACUAGGUAUUAUUUUAGGGAUGUUAUUGGAAAAUCUAACUUGUCCCAAGCAAACCCAAGGCAGGCAUCUUUACUUCCUCAAGAGUUAGCAGUAAAGAGUUUGCUCAUUCUCUAAGAAGCACAGAAAAGCUGCCGGAAUAAUUUAGGGUUCUGCUUUUGGUAGCUCGAAAUCUGAGAUAAAAAGGUUUUGUGCAAGAAGAGGGGGCAGAGAAGGAAGGACAUGCAUAGCUACCUUGCAUUUUCAGCAAGGGUUUGGAGACAGAGGAACCGGAUGGCAUUAAUUAAACUGAAUUAGUGCUGAGCCGCCUCCUUUCUGCCUUUCAAAGGCUUUGUGUUGCCUUCAGUUUUCGCGGAAUUAGAAUCAUUAAAAGAAAAGGAGAACAGAGCCUUCCAAGAAAUGAUCUCGUGUCUCAGACCUGUAAUUUUAAGUUUCACUGUUCCCCUUUGUGUGUGUCCAUAGUUCUUGCUUCCUUUGUGUGCAGUAUUGGGUGUUUAUUCAGUUAUAUUUUUAGAGCCCCUCCUUCCAUGGCCAACUCCUGUCUAAAUGUUUGCAGAAGGCUGAGGGGGCAGAAUUUGUUCAAAGAUGCUGUCUGAUGGCAUGCUCAGAAAAGCACUUCCUCCCAUUGAAAACGCAGCCCUGUCUGAGAAAAGGGUGUUGUGUGCUACAUGAGAACCUCCUGGGGAGAAGUCCUCGUGUCAGGACUCUGGGCUUGGGAGGUGCAGAGGUCAUGAGAGUGAAGCCUCAUGGAUGAGAUCUGUGUACUUACAAAAGAAGCCACAGACAGCCCUCUGUCCUUUCCACCAUGUGAGGACAGGGAGAAGGUGCCAUCUAUGAACCAGGAAGCAGCCCUCAGCAGACAAAGGAUCAGCCACUCCUUGACUUUUGACUUCUACCCUCCAGGACUGGGAGCCACCAAAGUCUGCAUAGUGACCAUCCAUUGCCCAGGCUGUGGGAUUGCAUAUGGCUGCCCAAGCUGACUAAUCCCAGUGAUACACCAGCCCCGUGACCCAUGCAAUGGAUGGGAAUGUGUGUCCCCCAGAUUCUUAUGUUGAACACUCACCUCCAAGUUGGUGGUGUCAGAAGGUGGGGGCUCUGGGAGGUGCCGAGAUCACAAGGGUCAAGCAAGACCACAGUGUGUUCCCUACCCUUUCUGCCAUGUAAGGGCACAGUGAGAAGCUGCCAUCUAUAACCCAGGAAGCAGCCCUCACCAGACACAGGCUCUGUCAUGCCUGGACCUUGGACUUCAGCCUCCAGGACUGUGAGCAAUAUGUUUAUGUUGUUUUUAAACCCCCAGCCUACACUAUUUAUUGUAGCAACUGGAUUAAUAAUAGCUCUUUUCCAAAUGAGAAAGGCUCCAAGAGAGGGAGGGAGGAAUGCAGAGAGGAGGAAGGGGAAGUAAGAACUGAGAAGUGCUAUGUGCACGUACCAACUCCCCACCAUGAUUCAAAUCAUUCUGCACUACAAACAUGUGCUAAUAAACACUUAGCAGAAGGCUUUCUUCAGACACAACUAAGAGAAUUCCCAGGUUCAGAUUUCUACAGUUCAUACCGAUAAUGCUGAAAGUUUGAUUUGCCCCCCUUUUUCCUUAAUGAUUACACUUCAUUCUUUCAUGUCUCUAUGACUGUUUUCUUCUAAUUAUCCUUGCCAACUUCUAUUUUAUUUAUUUCAUUUUAGUUUUUGAUAUUUAUUUUAAUAUCCAUUUUUAUCUUUUUACUUUUAACCGAAACAUUUAGUCUGGUUUCCAUUGUAUGAUAUAUUAUAAUUUAAUGUUACCAUAACUUUACCUACUCAUUUUAUCCCAUUUUUGUCUUGUUCUUUUCUGUAUUUUGAUGCCUUCUUUAAAAUAAAUUAUUCUUUAGGUUAAAAAAAAAGAGUUGAAGCUAUUAUCUUGAACAUCGUGUAUCCUGAAGAUGUUCUUUUUAGCCUUAUUAAAAAGCAGCAAAUGGUAUAGAGGAAAGGUUUAGAUUUGAUGUUGGUUAGAGGUGGGAAGGCACGUUUCUUAGCUGCAGGAAUGUGGGUUUUUUUCUCUACGGCUGAAUUGUUCUCAAUGCAUAAGCCAAACCAGGGGAUGCUGUUACUUUCCACUAUUCGUGCAGUGACAUCCAGCUACCCACCAGGUUCUGAUCAUCACAUCCCCUCUUUCUGUCCUCCUGGGCCUUUCUUUGUGUAGUGAGAUUUCUGUGGUGACUCAGAGAGGUCACGACACAAGGGUGACUUCUUAUCAUUGCAAUGGUGACUCUCUGCAAGCGUUCUUUAAGAGGAUGGUUAUUAAAUUCUGUUUUGUAUCCACUCACACUUCACCACUCAUUUAAAUGAUAAUUACAAAGGCAUGACCCAUGAAACGCUGAAGUCACCACGUGGUAGCUUGUGAAUUAAUAAGAAUUACAAAUCCACAAGUUUUAUUCCACCGUACAACGGCCCUAUUUUCUAUUUGGAGAAUUUUGUCUUCCAACGAUUCCUCACAUUUUCCAAGACUUAAUUUCCAACACGUUGACAUAUUCAAAUGUAUCCAUCUACAAGAUGCAUGAAGUUUUAAAUUGAAGAUCAAAGUCAAAAGGACAAACUUACUGGCUGUUGUAUUGUUUCUUAUUUUUUUUCCUUGAAAAGCUCUACAAGCUUUGCAAUAAUCAUUUUCUUAAUUGAAGUUUUAUGUUAUCAACCUUAUUCAAUUAGUAUUGCAUGAAAUCAAGGGAGAGCAUUAAAGCUAACCCUUCACGUGGACUCACAUUCAUUACAGCCUGUUCCACAUAAACUUUCAGGAAUGAAAGGUGUCAAUAUCAAACUGAAACAGUGCUAAGUACAUGAAAAUUUUUGUGAAUUUUCAGGAUUAAUUCAGCAAGUCACCAGAUGGCAACAAUGGCUCAAGCUUUUGUUGACUGCCAACUCCACAAUCUUUACCAGGAAUGUGGCUGUUGGCGUCAUGGUCAUAUGACGGCUGCUGUACUUACAGGCAUCACAUCUUCACUCACAAAAGGAACAAAGGCCAAAGGAGUAAAAAAAAGGUAAAAGGCUGAGGGAAACAUGCUGAGACUGCCUGUCUUAGCAAACUUAAAAAGCUAGACAGUUAACCCAUUUAUUGAUUUCAUUUUGUUAUGUAGAUUAGCUCCAAUGAAUAUGCAUAGUUACAGCGAAACUUGGGGAUGGAAAAGAAGAGGAAGGAAAAGAUGGAGUGCAUAGUUUGGAGAGGAUGGACACAGUAUAUACCAGACAUAGGCAGUACCACUUACCUGGGUGAGAUAAGCUCUACAUUGGCUCAUCCAAUGCCUAGGGUUAUUCUCUCUCUCUCUCUCUUGCUCUCUCUCUCUCUCUCUCUCUCUCUCGCUCUCGCUCUCUCAUACUUUGCUGAAUUGGAAGAAAGCAUGUCCAAGACAAAACUAACAAUGCAGCUAGUGGCUCUCUGUUUUUAAGAUAAAAUGAGUUAAAAUGUUAGCAUUAGCUGGAUGGCCUUGGCUAAGAUACUUGACGUUCCUGAGCUACCAUUCUCUGCUCUGUAAAAUGACAACCAUAUCCGCUGCCCUAGUUCUACUGUCAAUAUUCUAAUGUAAGUUUCUUACUCAUAAAUAAAACCUCGUAUUGAUACAGCAAGAGCAGGAAUUGUGUAACAUGUGCUGCCAAAGACAGAGUGUUUGAAUCAGAUGCACCUUGAGACCAUAGUGUUAAGUGAAAUCAGUCAGUCAGACAAGGUGAAAUAUCACAUGGCUUCUCAUACAUGAGAAAUCCAAAUUAUAAAAAAAGAGAGGAAGAAGAAAGAUAACAGGAAACAGGGAGACAGAUCUUUGAGAAAAGGGAAGGGGGCCAAGAGACCAUCCAUUUUUCUACCAAUGAUCCAAGCUCGUCCUUCUCUACGGCACAGUAGUACUCCAUGCUGUAUACAUUUUCUUAUCCAUUCAUGCUGAUGGACACACAGGCCUCUUCCAGAAUUUAGCUAGUAUGAAUUGUGCUGCUAUAAACCUGAAGGAUCACUAUCAUAUGAUGUCUUUAGCUCUUUGGGGAAGACACGUAGAAGGGGACUAGCUGGAUCAAGUGGAAUUCCUAGUUUUAGGGUUUGUUUUUUAAGAUAAUGGCUAGUAAAAUAUUUAAAAAGUAGUGCCAACUUUAAGGGUUUUGAGACUUACUGAGUAGACAAGACCAGUGGACAGACCUGAGAAGAGGAUUGUACAUAAAACAUAGUUCUUGGUCAAAUGCAGGUUGCAGACAUGAAGCCAGCCCUCUGUAUCUUCAGGUUCUGCAUCCUUGGCUUGAACUCACGAGGUAAUGAAAAUAUUUGAAAAAAAAUUCUUACAUUGUCGCUGGCGUGUCCAGGGUUGCUAGGCCUAUGGUAGUUGCAUUUGUACUAAACAUAUGCAAAUCUUUUUCCUUGUCAUUUCCCCCUAAAGAAUACAGAGUAAGAGCUACUUACGUGGAUUUCCAUUGCAUUAGGUUUCCCAAGUCGUCUGGACAUGAUUUAAAGUAUACAGGACUAUGUGGGUCGCUCCUAUGAAAAGAGCACCGAAGACUUGGGAUCCAUGACUUUUGGCAUCAAAGGGGUUGGGGGUCUAGGAAGCAAUUCUCUCCUUGGAUGCAGGAGAGCGACUGCAUUUGCGUCUGCUUCUAGACCCUCCAUCUCUGUUUCUUCCUACUCUCUGUCCUUCCUUCCUUUCUCUUCCUCUCCUUCCUCCAAGGCCAGCUGAGGGGGACCAGAUAAUCUAACCCCUUUAACUGCUGUAUAUGUGAGGAAAAGGGAGUGACUGGCCUUCAUUCAUCAAUUCAUCAAAAAGCUUUUGUACCUAAGGAGAAAUACCUACACAUUACUUUAAAACGCUGAAAAUUUUGAAAACAAAAUAGCAGUGAAAAUACAUAAUUGCUCUGUUUUAUAUGAUGACUAGAAACAAACAUGUAUUUUUGUAGAGUUGGACACACAGAGGCUAGUUUUAUACCAAUGUCUGUGGGAAGAAAUGCGAAGCCGGCGCGCAAGCUGUCCUUCCAAAAGAACCAUUUAGAAAUGGCACUGAGGAAAUAUAAAGGGUAAUUCACUCUGCUAGCUGAAAAUAGAAUCUCCAUAGAACUGAAAGGAGUUUGUUUGAGCAACAUAUUUAAAAUAAAAACAACACUGGAAGCCUAGGACCCAUACACAGAAAACGAAUACUAAUGUGCUGUAAAAAAUCCGACUCUGUGUGUUUAGUGGUAUGUUCAUGAUUUUUGAGCAGAUAAUUAGUUCUAGAUUGAAAUGGAAAAAAAUGGGUUACCAGUAGGUUGUAAGCAAAUAAUGGCGGGCAUUUCACGUUGUAUCUGUAUUGAGAACUGAAUCAAGGGUCUUUUCACUGAGCUACAUCCCCAGCCUUUUUAUUUUAUUGUAAUUCAUCUAUUUUAUUUUACUUUAUUUUAUUUAUUUAUUUAUUAUUUUUUCUUGGUACCUGGGGAUCAAACUUGGGACCUUGCGGUUGCGAGGCAGGCAGCAGAACCACUGAGCUAAAUCCCGGGCUUACUUUAUUUUAUUUCAUUAUUUUGGGACAGGUUCUCCUAAAUCCCUGAGUUGCCCAGGCUGGGCUGGAAUUUGAGAUCCUCCUGCCUCAUUCUUCCAGAGUACAGGAAUUACAGGCCUGUGUAGCUGUGCCUGGCUAGUUCACUUUAUGUCUGAGAGUACAAAGUAGAGAAGCAGGUCAUAUUGCUUUUACAUAAAAUCCGAGCAUGUACUUUUGGUCCAUCCCUAGGCACGUGUUCCUCCACUUACAAUGGCUCCAAUAUCGGAUUUUUUAUGGUGCCAGCAAAGCUGCUUGUUCUUGGUGGAAACUGCACUUGCAGUUUUGAAUGCUGAUCUCUUCCCUGCCCAGGGACGGGUGGUCUGGUAUCCACUGUGAUCCUCAGCAAGAGGAAGCACACACUACACACUCCAUGGUGCUAAGCCAGGAUCUUCCACAAGCCUCUGACCAGCAGGCUCUGCCAAGGAGAGAAUGAAGGGAAGGUCAUAGGAGACGCAUAGACAAACACCUUCCCCUCGGAGCCCCUUGAAGCAUGCUCCGGAUCCAGUGCUCCUAUUUACAGGUGGUGAGUGCUGUCUCCACAGGGCUAUGCUGCACUCUCAGAAUAAACUGGAAGGUGCACCUAAACCAAUUUGGGGAUGCAACUAAAAAUAAAACGUGCAGGAGCUUCUCUAGCUCUGGAGAGACUCCAGAGUGUCGCUGUCAAAACAUGGAGCUCUUCUGCAGACUGCGUCCCCAAAAGGAAGGGAAGUAGUUCCCCAGUGCUGCUAUUUUGCCACUGUCAAGGGUUUGGGUGAGACUCCUGAAUGCAUGUUGCAGGCUUUGAGAGCUAAGGCUGAUGAAAGAGCACACCCAGCCUCUUUUUCUUUUAACACACUUUCAACUUGUUGGCCCUUUCUCGCUCCGUGUCUUGCAUGGAAGGAACUUUGCAUUCUUACCACAUUUAGUACUUUGCCUGUGGGGAACAAAAUCUUGAGAAAUAUCUGAAAACACUUCACUUUGUGUGCAAGUUGGAAAUCGAGGAGGAAAUAAAGCUGAUAUCACUAGGAAUGCUUUUAGGCUUCCAGGUGAGAGAAUUUGGCAUGAAGGCUGGCUGUCACUUUUUGAGAAUGUUUCAUUUCCCCUUCAGGUCUGAGUGAUGUUCUGUAGGUCUGGAAUUUCCUGGUUGCUGUAGUGAUUUAAACUUGAAAUAAUUUUGUAAUAGGAUGUUUUUUGGUGGCGAAAUAUUUUUGAGAAAGUUUUAGGAGAAGGAGUAUGGUGUGUGGGAUGGGAACGAAUGUGCUUUUGAAAAUUAGAAAAAUUACUCUUUUAUGGUUUUGAAUAGAAUUGUCUCACCAAUCUGUUGACACACUUGUAAAAAGCUUAUCCUUUCUUUGCUCAGAUUAUGGUAAAAAAAAAUAAGACUGAAAGGUCCCCCCCCCCCCCAAAAAAAGCUAUUGAAAUAUACAAAACAUUAAAAAUAAUGUUUCCUUUAUAAAAAUUUUUUGAGUUUCUGAAGAGCUUUUCCAUAAUUUGGUAAGUGUUGUGCACAGAAAAUAUAAUACAUAUUAAAUAUAUGUUAAUUAAUGGAGAUAAAUGCUAGAUUCUUAAAUUCAAAUCACACACAUAGCAGCAGAUCAUGAGUCCCAGGAUAAAAAGGGUAAGCCACUAAUAAUCUAAGCAAUAUAUAAAUAUAUUGAUCCUGUUCACUCAGGACUGAUGCCAUUUCUAGGAAUUUCACUUUAAAAAAUUACUCAUGGUUGGUUGAAAAAAAUAUAGAUGAAAGAAUUUUUGCUGGAGUAUUACUUAUAGAAAUGAAGGAUGGGAAACAAUUUAUAUGCCCAAACAUAGUAGAUUGACAAAAUUAAUUGUGAGCCAUUCAUGUAAUAAAUUAUGACACGGGAAUGAUUUACUGGGCAUGGAAAGGUGUUUAUGAUGUUAAAAGUAAAAGGUAGUAUUUGAAACAUAUUUUGUGAAGUAGAUUUGCAGAGUAAGCAGAGAACUGAUCAGGAAUGAUUUAUAUAAAACUAUGGAUGGCAACUUUGAGUAAUGCGAUUAUGAGCACAGUAAGUAUUUUCUUCUCCUUUUGGCUUAUUUUUACAUCCUAUUUUCUCUAACGUGGAAGUGGGAGGUAUUCCCAGAAAAAAACCCAACAACUUGGAGUUGAAAUAGUUUAUCCUUCUCUAGGGCUUUUCUUAGCUUGAAACACAUGGACAUAAUAAAUGGAAGUGUAAAGACAAAAUGAAGAAGGCAUAAUUGGUUCACAGUGGAAUAAACAUCCUGAGUGAACGCUGCUUGGUUUAAAUAUGGGUAAUGUCUCCCAAAGUUCCAGGUAAAAAGUGGUGCAAAGGGAAGGUGCCGUGGACCUUUAAGAGGUGGAGCCUAGCAGGAGGAAGUGAGGUCAUUGGGGGUGUGGCUUUGAAGGAGCUAUGGAGACUCCCCUCUCAAUCUCUCCGCUUCCUGACUUGUGUUGGCGGGUGUCUGUUUCUCCACCUGCUUCUUCCAUGAGAUUUGCCCGUUGCGGGAAUCCCUAAUAGGAUCGCUCAAUCUGCUUCUUGAUUCUGCAGAUCUCGGAACCAAAAUGAACCCUUUCUCCUUACCGAGUUCGUUGCUCUAGGUGUUUAUCUCAUGGGAGUAGCACAAAGCUGACUGAAACAAUCAGGAAGAAUCAGAAGCUCAAGUGGUGCUGGCUAAAAUGCUGAUGAUGGUAAUUGAGCCAGAAGAGAUGUAAACCCAGCAUGUAAUGCAAGAAAUAGCCAAAAGGAGUAAAAAGCAAGCCUAUGGGACAAUUUAAUUAACUGCUACCAAUUGAGGAAAAGACUCGACAAAAGAUUAAAUUACAGGUACCAAUGUCAAAGAGAGAUGAGAACAGGAUGUCCACGAGUGUCCUAAAAAACAGACCAAAAUCAUCUUCUUAUAUGCAAGAGAGACCAUAGGGUCAAAAUUAAAAGUUUUGUUAAUAUAGCUUCUGAAUCCACAGAGGAAGUUUAAAUAGUAAUAUGGGUAUAAAGCAAUCCAACAGGAAUCAAGAGAGAAGACAAUCUCCCAAGGGCAUAAAAAGACAAAAUCAAUAAAAAUAUACCAGUAUUUUCAACUAAGAAGAACCGUUACUUAGGAUUAAAGGAACCACCUCUGAAAUAAUCAAGACCUUUUGCCAGUUGGACCCCAUGACCUCACAAAGCAAAAGGAAAAACAAGACAAAGCAAUCCUGCCCCACAAAACCAACAGAAUUUAGGGGGACUUUUUUUUUUUUUUUUGGUACUGGGGAUUGAACUCAGGUCCUUGCGCUUGCGCAGCAGGCGGCGAAACCACUGAGCUAAAUCCCCGGCCAAGAGGGGACUUUUAAAAAUAUAUAUUUUUAACAUAGUACUCUCAAGAAAUAAAAGAUUAAACAGGACAAAAAAUACUAAAAUUAUUGAGAGUUUGACGAGUCCAGUUAAUGGAGAAUUCACAGUGCUUUCAAGCACACCCCAAACAUUUCUGAAAACUGCAUAUUAGCAGCUAGCACCAUGUUGAAUAGUGUCAGAGAACUGACAUGUUAGACUGAUUUCUCUGAUUCCAUGCAAAUUGAAUUAGAAGCUAACACUUAAAAGACAAUAGAAUAGAUAAAUGCUUGAAAAACCAGAACGGACAUCUAAAAUAAAUCUCCACUUAUAAGAAAAUCCAAAAGAAACUUAGCGGCUCAUCGUGUACCAUACAUUGUAUCAUGAGCUCCAUUAGGAAAAAUAGAUCUUAAAAAUGUAGCCAGAUAUGCACUUACUAAAAGCAAAAGAAAAUCUGUGCAAGUUAGCAUAGGGAUGUAAGGAGAAGGUGAGCAGAGUAAAAUCAAACACCUCACCUCCAUCACCUUCACCUUGAGGGUUAAGAGUUCAACCGAUGUAUUUGGAGGGAAAACCAAUUUUCUUGGACCAUAGCAAGUCCCAGGGAUAUUUUAUCCUUUCAGUUGUCCAAAGCAGUGGUUUCAAAGUGUGGUCCUUGGAAUAGCUGCAUCAGUAUCACCUGUGAAUGUGGGAGAAAUGCAAAUGUUGAAGCAAACAUGGUGGGACACACCUAUAGUUCCAGCACUGUGGGAGGUGAAGCUGGAGGAUUGCAAGUUCAAGGCUGGUCUGAGUGGCUGAAUGGCUUAGUGAGGCCCCAUCUCCAAAUCAGAGCUCCGGUGGUGGAUUCAGCAAUCUCUGCCUAACAAGCCUUCUGGGGCAAACUGAUUCAAGCUCAAGUUGGAGGACCACUUCCAUUGCCCAUUCUCUCUCACCACCCCGGGCAUUAAAAUCACCUGAGAAGAUUCCCAAAGGCUCAGAUGCCAGAUCUGCAGUGUGUGAGUUUCGCCGGCUGUGGGUACGUGUGGUCAUAAGUGGAACUUUGCUGUUCACCAGGAAAUUCAGCAGUUUAUCCAGGGCUACGAAUGAAGAAUAGGAAACAGUGUUGCCCGAAAUCCAAUGUCACCAAGGAUUACCCCAUUACUUGUGGUAAUGCUGAUUCCUGGGCCACGAUUCAAGGAAUUCUGAUCCAGUGUGUCUUGGGGGAGCCCAGGAAUCCGCGAUUUUGGCAGAUGGCUCCAGAGGCACAUUCUCUGGUGCUGUUUCUCACAUUUUAGUGAAGAUAGAUGGUAGUAAAAUCCCCUUCAGAGAAUGUUUCUGAGUCACCUAUAAAGGUGCUAGGAAAGGCUUUGCUUAAUGCCUCUCAUAAAGCAUGGUGCAAAACCAAGUUAUUCUUAGAGCCCAGUAUUAGGUGCUCAUGAAGAAAUAAAUUAUGUUCUUUUAUUAUACACCCAGGGCUAUUGAAUUCCUCAUGCUUUCCUUCUUCCUUGGACGAUGCGGAAACUGGAAAUUCAAAUUUGGGCUUCAGUUUCGAGAACUACCCUUAGACCUGCAGUUCUUGUUGCUUGUGCUCAGUUGAUGGUCUUUGUCUUUGCAGGGACCAUUUUAUUUUGGUUUUUUUGUUGUUGUGUUUUGGGUUUUUUCAAUACCAGGGGUCGAACUCGGAACCUUUUGCUUGCGAGGCAGGCAGCGGAACCACUGAGCUAAAUGGCCAGCCCAAGGACCAUUUUAGAUAGUAGGUAUUAAAGAAGUUAGCCUUGCUUGAGUGGGAAGGUAGCCUGUGUCUUAGGCUCCCAUGAGGUCAGCUUUAAAGGCUUCCAGCAUCCUACCUGAUAUCACACCUAGGUUUUCUUGAAGGCCUUGGAUCAGCCAGAACGAUGCAAUUUGAGGCAGUGCCUUGGACCACCACAAAAACGUGAUUUAGAUGAGUAUUCUGUGAUCAUCCUGUAUCAGUGCACUUCUGCAGGAUGUGGAGUCUGGGAGUGGCUUCCUGCUUAGCCAACUAGUCUUUUAUGACACUGGAUUCCCCCAAAGACUCCAUCCAAACCUCAGGUGUGGUUUCCUGAUUAUCAUCCUCUCAGCAAAUUGUCACCCAUCAAUGCCUGGAAAGUGUUGCUGUCUAUUAUGCCACAGGGAUAGAAGUAUUGAAAAAUGUGUAUUUGAAAUUUUCCUGAGCUCUGCCCUCUGGUUGAUUUGUGAUCUGCAUUUUUCCAAAUUGUCAGUGGGGAAUUCUGUCAUCCUGUUACCAUCAUGGUGUGUUCAUACAAACCAAUAUGGCUACAUCAUCACUGGGCAACAUAAACCCAUGAGGCCAUCAUUGUCUAUGUGAUCUGUCAUUGGCUGAAGUGUCUUUAUGCAGUACCCAGUGGUUUUCAAGACUCUAAAGACUGAAAGGGUAGAACCUGCUACCCAUGCUUGCUCUUGUUACAUUGAAAGGCCAGCCUACUUGUUUGUAGGCAUCAGGUAUUUCUUACCUUUGUCAUUUCAGUUUCUGUAGAAUCUAAUUAUGGUCUCAUGAUGCAUCCAUUUUCCUACAAAUGUCUCAAAUGUGUCCUUCUUUAUGGCAGAGUAGUACUCCAUGGUGUGCAAAUACCACAUUUUCUUUCUCCAUUCAUCCAUUGAUAGACAUAUGAGCCACUUUCAAGAUUUACUACUGUGAGUUGCACUGCUAUCACUAUGGGUGUGCAUGCAUCUCUGUAUUAUGAUGCCUAAAUCUUUUGGGAAGAUAGCUAGAAGGGGAAUAGCUGAAGUGAAUGGAAUUUCAACUAGAAUGGAAUUUCUACUUUUAGUUUUUUGAGGAAACUUCUUACUGAUUUUCGUAGUACUUGGAAAGAUUUAAUGACAUCACAAUCAAAAAAUACCAACAGCAUGCCUCAUCAAACUAGAAAAACAAAAAAGGAAAACAAUACUAUAAUUCACAUGGAGCCAAAAGAGACCCAGAAUAGCUAAGACCUUCCUGGGCAACAAGAGCAAAGCUAGCGGUACCACAAUCCUGGAUUUCGAGUUCUAUUACAAAGCCACAGUGAUAAAAGCAGCAUAUUACUGGCUUUCUGAUGCCCUCCCUAUCCAGCCUGCCAUCCCCAGGCAGUGAUGAACUUGUCCUAGUGAUGAACUCCUCCAGCCCUGUGACACUGGACAUUCUGAGCCCUGCCUGGACACCUCCCUGUCUACUUUCUCUCCCUGGACUCUGCUUUUCUCUGAGUGCCAGUGAAUGCCAUCCUCUCCUGUUAAUGCCUUCAUAAACCUCAAGUCACAGCAAGCGUCUCCAGGGCUUCCCUUUGGCUUCUCAGCCAGCCCACUCACCAACUCUGGGACACGUCAUCUGUGGACAGGACACUUGCUCAAAAGCCAUCCUUUUUUUUGAUCUCUACACAGGACAUGUUUUUAGCAUGUUGCCAUUUCUCUAAACUCACAGGCAAUUUUCCAUUUGCACCUUCUGAUUAUGGAGAAUUCACGAUCAUUUCUUUAUCUCCUUUUCAUGGCUUCCUAUAACAUCUGACCUCCUAUAGCAUUCAUUGACCUGGGGACUGUGUCUUAAAAUGUUCUUUGCCUUUUGGAAUUGCCCUUCAAGCUGAUGUCAAUUAUCUUAUGUCUCAUAGUAGGAAGCAAAGGGUCCCAUCAAGGAGGGCUGCAUAUAUCGAGAUGCUUUCUGGAUAUGCAGUUGUAGGAGUAAACAGCAGGCUUUUGCAAACCGGCUUAUCUCUACAAAAACAACAUCUUUCUUCCCAGAGCCCUGGAUGACAAAAUAUCUCACAUGGAGUUCUUUCCACAGAGUCCUGAUGUAUGGGACCAAGCAAAAGCCAGUGAAAAGGCUUUGAUUUGCAAGCUUCCAGGAUAGAGUGUAUUAACUCUGAGAAGGCAAAGAUUCCUUCCUCGGGGCUUAAAGAGGAAAAAGGUGCAGCAUAACUGAGGACAAACUGCCAGUAUUACUGGUAAAAAUCAUUUUAAAUUAUUCUAUCAUAUCUUGGAUGUAGAGUGUAAGUCCAUUGAAAAUAAUAUCUUAAUAAUGUUUUUAUAUUUAAAAACACUCAAGCUGGGCACGGUGGUCCAUACCUACUAUCCCAGCACUCUGGAAGGUGAAGGCAACAGGAUGGGAAAUGUGAGGCCAGCCUGGGCAUCUUGGCGACAUAGCAAGAUCGUGUCUCAAAAUAAAAAGGGCUGCAGAAUUCGCUUAGUGUGAAGGCCCUGUGUUCAGUUUCCAGUACCAGGAAGAAGGAAAGAAAGAAAGGAAGAAAGGAAGGAAGGAAGGAAGGAAGGAAGGACCUUCCUAUGCAUGGUUUCCUUAUGAUACCCCUGAGACCAUCAUCUCUGUGUGCUGUUGCUCUGUUCUCUGCCACGUUCACUGUACAUGUGGCAUCCUCAUCAUCUCACGUAGUUGGUACCAUGACCCUGAUUUUAUCCCCGAGCACAUACCAGAGCCUGCAACCGGUGACCAUUCAGCCACACAAGUCAGAGCCUCAGAAUAGAGCAAAAGACAGAGCUUGGUGUACAACACCUCUGGGUUCAAAUCCAAUUUUUUUUCCCCAAGAAAGUCAGUUGUCAGGUUUAGUGUCCAGGUUAGGACAGUACUUGUUUAGAUAUGAAGUGCCCCACAGAAGUCCCAGUGUAACCAGAAGUAGAGCUUCCGGAAGGUGACUGCAUCAUGAGGGCACUCACCUCCUCAAUGCAUUAGUGGUUUCACUGUCGAAUGUGCUGUUACCAGGUAUGGCCGGGUAUGGUGGAAGUUGACACCGGAGGGGUAACCUGGGAGAGGAUAUCAUGGACUCAGCCCAUUCCAAAAGCCCCACUUCUGAACACAUGAACUUUCUGGGGGAAGUUCUUGUUCUAAAUCAUAGCGAGCAUAGAUGAUUUUUUUGGUCUGUGUUUCCAGAGGAUUGUCCUGUGGAUUAUAAGAUGUUUAGCCUGCAGCUCUGGACUCUCCCCACCGGAUGCCAAUGUCCCUGCUGUCCUUUGCAACUGUGACAGGCAAAAUGUCUUCCAAAUUUGACACAUGUCCCUUGAGGGGCACGCUCACUUUCGGUUGUAAAUCACGACUGACUCUAUACCCACAUUUUUAUAAAUAGAUCUUUUGUAAGUAGACCCAUCUUUAAUGUCGACCUAUCUGUAAUGUCUUGAAGACCCUAAUUGGCUCAGUAAGGAAAGACUAAAAGCAUGUGGCACUGUUUAUUCUUCGGACAGUGGGUAGUUAUUUGAAAGCUUCCUAUGUAGCGUCUCCUUAUCCCCCCCGCCAUCUCUUCCUCUUUCCCUCUCUCUUUUCAGGUAGAGUCUUUCAACCUUGGUAUUCUUGCCAUUUGAGGCCAGAUAAUUCCUUAGUUGGGAGUGGCCCCAUGGCACUGCAUAUUCUUUUACACCAUCUCUACCCUUCACCCUCCAAGUACCAAUAGCAGCCCCUCUACUUUAGUUGUGAGAGCCAGAAAUAUCUCCAGUUAUUGCCAAAUGUUCCUUCAUGGAAAAAGUUACUAUCUAUCUAUCUAUCUAUCUAUCUAUCUAUCUAUCUAUAUUACUCCUCGAAGGGAACACAAGUGGGCCUGAAGUGGCAGCUUGAGAGGUAUACAUUUAUUGGGAAAAAUCAAAAUAUUUUAUAUGGAAGGGGCAUGACAUUUGAUAGGACCACAGUCAGCUUUAGUAUGGACUGGAAGGGAUAGUUACAAUUUCCAAGCUUGGUCACAAACCUAGAUCAUUGUUCAUGGUUUUAACUCUUUAUCACCAUCAUUGUCUUUAUCAUGGGAACCCCAUUUUAUACGAAAAUGCUAAAGUCAUAGUGAGCUUUUGAAAAGUGUACCCACAACUCCGUCACUGCAUUCAACUAAGUGAGAAUUGAAAAUAUUUGGGGAAAAAUGGUAUGUGUAGUAUACUUGUAAUAUGGUGAUUGUAAGUGAAGAAUCCACUAUAAGAACAAUUCAUAUUCUAUUAAAUAUCACAAGUCAUAGAGUCAUGAACUUUGGGAAUAUAUCUUGUCCCAGGCUUCCUUCUCUCUGGAUCUUUUUGCUUACUCUGCUUCCUGGUCACCAUGAGGUGAGCAACUUUGUUCCACCAGGCCCUUCCGCCAUGUUUGUGCCCUGGAGUCAGAUGCCAGAUUGAACCCUGUGAAACCAUGAGCCAAGCUAAACCUCUCCUUUAAAUUGUGGGUGGGUGUCAGAUAUUUCAUCCCAGCAACAAAAAUGCUGACUAAUGCCCCUCUUUAGAACAAGGUAGAGAUCAUGCUAACAUCUGGAGAAAGGACCAUCUUGUUAUUUCUUGGGAAAAUAAACCACUCCUCUUUUCAUUUGUUUACUCAGGAAUUUAAUCCUAGGAACAGAAGGCAAC
ensembl:lncRNA